AACAUAUGAACCUGAGAGCAGAGCACAUCAUCAGCUUACUCUUUGAUUGUUUUGAGCCUUCAGCAUCAUCAGCAUUCCAGCCUCACAGGGUGCUUCUAUCCCAGGUGCUUCUGGCCAGCCUGCUAAGAAAGUAAAUCUGGUGGAUGGAUUCCUAAAGCAAGAGAGACACUGACGCAGAACGUGCGGUGCCUGCACUGAGCUGCAGGUGCAAACUCCUGCAUUUGCAUUGGCCUUGUUCUUGCCGUGUGCUAUAGCUCAAACCAUAACGAUACAGGUGGCAGCUGCCCCUGAUUCAGCAUCACUCCCGUGAAGCCAGAAUUGACAGACUACACAAAACUUACCCAGCUGGUGUGAAACACACCUUGUCUCUGAAUCAGAAAGAUUUUCCUUGACUUUUGGGCUCCUUCCUAUCCUAGGUGUGGAUAUUAAUGGAUAAACUGCUCUCCAGUCAAAGUACUAGUUCUCUCUAGGAAGCUUCUAUGAAAUACAAAAGAGAAAUGACAUUUCAUGAUGAAAUCAUGCAAAUAUUUGUCUUCUGUUAUCAAACACUGGGCUGAAGGAUCAAAAAAAAAAAGGCUUUUUUUUAUUCUAUAUUUUUAAAUUUACUUAAAGCAUGCAAAACAAUGUGCCUGUGCAUUAUUUUUGACAAUUCUUUUUUUUUAAAAGAAACCUUUAUACUAUAUGUGACAAUUGCAAAAUUUGUUCCUUUUUCUUGAUUUGUAUUUCAUUGGUUUGUGAUCAAAAAGAAAUAAUUUCUAUACAAAUCAAAUACAGAACUUAAAGAUUGUACUUCCACUAGGGGGCAGAAAAUGCCUGAGCUUUUCUGCUACAGAAUCGUAUUUGAGUUUAUUUGACAUAAAGUUUUUAAAACAGCUGUACUCUGAGCUGUCUAACCUCUGAAUCAUCAUACACUAAGCAAAUCAAUAAUAUUCUAUGGUAGUCACUCUUCAAGGAGAGAACACUGUGAUGGAAAUGCCUUCACUUAGACAGUCAUGUACUGAAGCUGUACACCAGUGAGUAAUAAUGCUUUCCAAGGAAGUCACCAUGAAAAAAUGAAUCAUUUCUCUUCUGUUCUACCAGGAGGGAGACAAAAAAGGGAGAAAAGGAGAAAGAUGAAAAUUCAAACCUUCACCU
rnacentral:lncRNA from 1 species